UGGGCUGACAUGACGUUUGUUCCAGGAUGUGAAAUCUGUCACCGGUCAUAAUAAUUAUCUAUCACAAAAGAAGAAAAGCUUUACUGACAAAUAAUAGUUAUGGGACUUGUAUUUACCCCUUGAGGACGCCGCCAAUUUCCCCAUAGGUAACUAUGAACGGCAGACUUGCAUAUGCUGUUUAAUGCUAUGCCAUAGAGGCUCAGAGCGCUGAUCGGACGUCACGGAGGCAGAUAGAUACCAUCAGGCAGUCAUCCUAGCUGAUCAGGAUCCCGGAUUACCCCGUUGUGGUUCACCAUCUUUAAAGUGAUCGCAACUCCUGGGCUCACUUCUUAGACUGUUAACGCUAAAUUAGGACUUCUGGUUUACAUAUUCCGCUGAAGAUUUGGUAUAGGACUAGGAUUCCUUUAACUAAAGAAGUGAUAGACCACUGCCCUGCCCCACAAAAGAAUGACUCAGUCUACCCACUUCUAACUCUGAAUACUCUGGCAAAUACACACUUAUUUCUGCUGAAGAAAUCUAUGUGGUUUUGUUAAAGAAUUCAAAAGACGAGGGGGAACAUGAAAGAAGAUAUCUUGGAAAAGAAGCAGCAGCUCUUGUUCAGGAUGGGGAUAAUGGAGCCUUUGUGUUUAAAGCAAGUUGGUGGAGCAUCGCUUUUGUCCAGACCCUAUAAGGUCUGACAAUAAAUAGAUGACAAAAUAAAAAGGUUUUCUAUGUGUAUGAAGACUUAAUGGAAUGGUAAGCCGCAAUCAGAAUAGAAUAGUAGAAACAACAAGAAAUGAACCAACUUGUAGAGAAAAAAAAAGAUUUUUUGCCAUCAAUAUUUUUCUUAAAGGGGUCCAAAGGAUAUUUGAAUUGAUACUGGAAUUAUGGGGGCAUGGCCGUAACGUUACGAGCCUCCGCAUCGCCAGUCAUCCGGAAGGAGCAAA